rnacentral:rRNA from 1 species
UACGUAGGGUGCGAGCGUUAAUCGGAAUUACUGGGCGUAAAGCGUGCGCAGGCGGUUUUGUAAGCCAGAUGUGAAAUCCCCGGGCUUAACCUGGGAAUGGCAUUUGGGACUGCAAGGCUUGAGUGCGGCAGAGGAGACUGGAAUUCCCAGUGUAGAGGUGAAAUUCGUAGAUAUUGGGAAGAACACCAGUGGCGAAGGCGGCUAUCUGGCCCGUUAUUGACGCUGAGGCGCGAAAGCGUGGGGAGCGAACAGG